GUAGACUGCAGACCUUCGGCGAUUUCCCAGACACUGGCUAGAGAUCAUUCCAAAACCUCAAAAGUUACUCUAUUGCCACAGCUACUUUCUAAGCAGUGCAACCAUUUGCCAGUCUUUGCAGAAUAAAGGAGGCGACACAUCUGGAAAUACCCCUUUCCUACAAAUAUUUUCCCUAAAAAGUAGCUAACAAAGUACACUCUGAUUUUUGCAGUUUUUUAAAAUCAGGCAUCUCAUAUAGUGUCAUCAUAAACUGAAACAUAAUGCUGAUUAUGGACAGUUGCUUACAUAGGACACCAUUCCUCGGGAAAAAUUGGAGCUGAUCUUUACCAUCAACUUUAAAUGGCCUUCUUAAGAUUUGAUCAACCUAGAAAUUCUUCCAGUAGAGCUAUGUCUUUAAUUAUUCCUAAUGUUAGAAUUAAAUAUUAUAAGAAUCAUUCAUAGUGUUUCAUUCAUUCAUCAUGUUUGUUGCUCAUCUACUAUGAGCUAGGCAUUGUACCUGUCAUUGAUAAGGAGGUGAGAAUAAGGCCCUGCCUUUGUGACAAUAUAGUCUAGUGAGGAAGGGAGACACUGAAUAAGUUAUGAGUGAAGAUGGGACCAAAUGUGGGCUAAUGGGGUCAGAAAAAGUCUUCAUUAGGACAUGACAGGGGAAAUGUAAGUAAGUAAAGGAUAAGACCAUUUCAGGCAGAGGAAGGAGCAUUGUGAGGCCCUGAAGCAAGCAAAGAUAGUGUACUUGAAGAACUGAAAAACACCCAGUGUGGCUAGAAAAUAGAAAGGGAAAUGUGGUGCAAAUGAGACUGGAAAGAUGAUGCCUGGUACUGCUGCAGCAGCCAUUUUGUGACCAUGGGGAAGGACAUUGCUUAUGCUCUAAGAAUGGCACAAUGGAAUAGAGAAAGCACGUGCCUAUGAUGACAUCACAGAGCUCCUGAACCAACCCUGGGACUACUCAGCCUGCAUAAUUCUUGUUUGCCAAUGCAGAGGACAGAAGACCCUGCAGACGAAGACAGAGAGUAUCCUGAUGAUAUGGAGUAUCUCCUGGGUCCAGCCAUACCUGAAGCCUCUUUCCCUGCUCUUUUCAAUCACAGUGAACUAAUAAAUUCCCCUGGUUGCUUUAG